rnacentral:rRNA from 1 species
CCUACGGGGGGCAGCAGUGGGGAAUAUUGCACAAUGGGGGGAACCCUGAUGCAGCGACGCCGCGUGGGUGAAGGAGCACCUCGGUGCGUAAAGCCCUAUCGGCAGGGAAGAAACAGACGGUACCUGACUAAGAAGCCCCGGCUAACUACGUGCCAGCAGCCGCGGUAAUACGUAGGUGGCAAGCGUUGUCCGGAUUUACUGGGGGUAAAGGGCGUGUAGCCGGGCUGACAAGUCAGAUGUGAAAUCCGGGGGCUCAACCCCCGAACUGCAUUUGAAACUGUUGGUCUUGAGUAUCGGAGAGGCAG